rnacentral:rRNA from 1 species
UACAGAGGUGGCAAGCGUUGUUCGGAAUUACUGGGCGUAAAGGGCGCGUAGGCGGUUCGUCAAGUCCUGUGUGAAAUCCCCCGGCUCAACUGGGGAACUGCACAGGAAACUAGCGGGCUUGAGUUCGGGAGAGGGAAGCGGAAUUCCGGGUGUAGCGGUGAAAUGCGUAGAUAUCCGGAGGAACACCGGUGGCGAAGGGGGUUGCUGGGCUGACACUGACGCUGAGGCGCGAAAGCUAGGGGAGCGAACGGG